rnacentral:rRNA from 1 species
UACACUCCUGCGGGAGGCAGCAGUGGGGAAUAUUGGACAAUGGGCGCAAGCCUGAUCCAGCCAUGCCGCGUGAGUGAUGAAGGCCCUAGGGUUGUAAAGCUCUUUCACCGGUGAAGAUAAUAACGGUAACCGGAGAAGAAGCCCCGGCUAACUUCGUGCCAGCAGCCGCGGUAAUACGAAGGGGGCUAGCGUUGUUCGGAUUUACUGGGCGUAAAGCGCACGUAGGCGGACUAUUAAGUCAGGGGUGAAAUCCCGGGGCUCAACCCCGGAACUGCCUUUGAUACUGGUAGUCUUGAGUUCGAGAGAGGUGAGUGGAAUUCCGAGUGUAGAGGUGAAAUUCGUAGAUAUUCGGAGGAACACCAGUGGCGAAGGCGGCUCACUGGCUCGAUACUGACGCUGAGGUGCGAAAGCGUGGGGAGCAAACAGGAUUAGAUACCCGGGUAGUCCCA